GACGAACGCUGGCGGCGUGCCUAAUACAUGCAAGUCGAGCGGACGGAUGGGAGCUUGCUCCCAGACCGUCAGCGGCGGACGGGUGAGUAACACGUGGGCAACCUGCCUGUAAGACUGGGAUAACUCCGGGAAACCGGGGCUAAUACCGGAUAACUCUUUCCCUCACAUGAGGGAAAGCUGAAAGAUGGCAUCUCGCUAUCACUUACAGAUGGGCCCGCGGCGCAUUAGCUAGUUGGUGAGGUAGCGGCUCACCAAGGCGACGAUGCGUAGCCGACCUGGGGGGGGGGGGCGGCCACAGGGGGAAGGAGACAGGGACAAGACUCCUGAGGGGGGCGGCAGGAGGGAAUCUUCCGAAAGGAACGAGAGUCGGAGGGAGCAGCGCCGGGGGAGUAAGGAGGGUUUUGGGAUCAAAAAACUCUGUGGCGGGGGAAAAACAAGUCCGGGAGAACCGGCGGGAACUUUGAGGUUCCCUAACAAAAAGGCCCGGACAAAGUCGGGG
rnacentral:rRNA from 1 species